GGGUUGUGAGGUUAAGCGACUAAGCGUACACGGUGGAUGCCCUGGCAGUCAGAGGCGAUGAAGGACGUGCUAAUCUGCGAAAAGCGUCGGUAAGGUGAUAUGAACCGUUAUAACCGGCGAUGUCCGAAUGGGGAAACCCAGUGUGAUUCGUCACACUAUCGUUAACUGAAUACAUAGGUUAACGAGGCGAACCGGGGGAACUGAAACAUCUAAGUACCCCGAGGAAAAGAAAUCAACCGAGAUUCCCCCAGUAGCGGCGAGCGAACGGGGAGCAGCCCAGAGUCUGAAUCAGCUUGUGUGUUAGUGGAACGGUCUGGAAAGUCCGACGGUACAGGGUGAUAGUCCCGUACACCAAAAUGCACAGGUUGUGAACUCGAAGAGUAGGGCGGGACACGUGGUAUCCUGUCUGAAUAUGGGGGGACCAUCCUCCAAGGCUAAAUACUCCUGACUGACCGAUAGUGAACCAGUACCGUGAGGGAAAGGCGAAAAGAACCCCGGCGAGGGGAGUGAAAAAGAACCUGAAACCGUGUACGUACAAGCAGUGGGAGCACCUUCGGGUGUGACUGCGUACCUUUUGUAUAAUGGGUCAGCGACUUAUAUUCUGUAGCAAGGUUAACCGUAUAGGGGAGCCGCAGGGAAACCGAGUCUUAACUGGGCGUUAAGUUGCAGGGUAUAGACCCGAAACCCGGUGAUCUAGCCAUGGGCAGGUUGAAGGUUGGGUAACACUAACUGGAGGACCGAACCGACUAAUGUUGAAAAAUUAGCGGAUGACUUGUGGCUGGGGGUGAAAGGCCAAUCAAACCGGGAGAUAGCUGGUUCUCCCCGAAAGCUAUUUAGGUAGCGCCUCGUGAAUUCAUCUUCGGGGGUAGAGCACUGUUUCGGCUAGGGGGUCAUCCCGACUUACCAACCCGAUGCAAACUACGAAUACCGAAGAAUGUUAUCACGGGAGACACACGGCGGGUGCUAACGUCCGUCGUGAAGAGGGAAACAACCCAGACCGCCAGCUAAGGUCCCAAAGUCAUGGUUAAGUGGGAAACGAUGUGGGAAGGCACAGACAGCCAGGAUGUUGGCUUAGAAGCAGCCAUCAUUUAAAGAAAGCGUAAUAGCUCACUGGUCGAGUCGGCCUGCGCGGAAGAUGUAACGGGGCUAAACCAUGCACCGAAGCUGCGGCAGCGACACUAUGUGUUGUUGGGUAGGGGAGCGUUCUGUAAGCCUGCGAAGGUGUGCUGUGAGGCAUGCUGGAGGUAUCAGAAGUGCGAAUGCUGACAUAAGUAACGAUAAAGCGGGUGAAAAGCCCGCUCGCCGGAAGACCAAGGGUUCCUGUCCAACGUUAAUCGGGGCAGGGUGAGUCGACCCCUAAGGCGAGGCCGAAAGGCGUAGUCGAUGGGAAACAGGUUAAUAUUCCUGUACUUGGUGUUACUGCGAAGGGGGGACGGAGAAGGCUAUGUUAGCCGGGCGACGGUUGUCCCGGUUUAAGCAUGUAGGCUGGUUAUCCAGGCAAAUCCGGAUAAUCAAGGCUGAGGUGUGAUGACGAGGCACUACGGUGCUGAAGUAACAAAUGCCCUGCUUCCAGGAAAAGCCUCUAAGCAUCAGGUAACAUCAAAUCGUACCCCAAACCGACACAGGUGGUCAGGUAGAGAAUACCAAGGCGCUUGAGAGAACUCGGGUGAAGGAACUAGGCAAAAUGGUGCCGUAACUUCGGGAGAAGGCACGCUGGUGUGUAGGUGAAGUCCCUGCGGAUGGAGCUGAGACCAGUCGAAGAUACCAGCUGGCUGCAACUGUUUAUUAAAAACACAGCACUGUGCAAACACGAAAGUGGACGUAUACGGUGUGACGCCUGCCCGGUGCCGGAAGGUUAAUUGAUGGGGUUAUCCGUAAGGAGAAGCUCUUGAUCGAAGCCCCGGUAAACGGCGGCCGUAACUAUAACGGUCCUAAGGUAGCGAAAUUCCUUGUCGGGUAAGUUCCGACCUGCACGAAUGGCGUAAUGAUGGCCAGGCUGUCUCCACCCGAGACUCAGUGAAAUUGAACUCGCUGUGAAGAUGCAGUGUACCCGCGGCAAGACGGAAAGACCCCGUGAACCUUUACUAUAGCUUGACACUGAACAUUGAGCCUUGAUGUGUAGGAUAGGUGGGAGGCUUUGAAGCGUGGACGCCAGUCUGCGUGGAGCCAACCUUGAAAUACCACCCUUUAAUGUUUGAUGUUCUAACGUUGGCCCCUUACCGGGGUUGCGGACAGUGUCUGGUGGGUAGUUUGACUGGGGCGGUCUCCUCCCAAAGCGUAACGGAGGAGCACGAAGGUUAGCUAAUCCUGGUCGGACAUCAGGAGGUUAGUGCAAUGGCAUAAGCUAGCUUGACUGCGAGCGUGACGGCGCGAGCAGGUGCGAAAGCAGGUCAUAGUGAUCCGGUGGUUCUGAAUGGAAGGGCCAUCGCUCAACGGAUAAAAGGUACUCCGGGGAUAACAGGCUGAUACCGCCCAAGAGUUCAUAUCGACGGCGGUGUUUGGCACCUCGAUGUCGGCUCAUCACAUCCUGGGGCUGAAGUAGGUCCCAAGGGUAUGGCUGUUCGCCAUUUAAAGUGGUACGCGAGCUGGGUUUAGAACGUCGUGAGACAGUUCGGUCCCUAUCUGCCGUGGGCGCUGGAGAAUUGAGGGGGGCUGCUCCUAGUACGAGAGGACCGGAGUGGACGCAUCACUGGUGUUCGGGUUGUCAUGCCAAUGGCACUGCCCGGUAGCUAAAUGCGGAAGAGAUAAGUGCUGAAAGCAUCUAAGCACGAAACUUGCCCCGAGAUGAGUUCUCCCUGAGACUUUAAGUCUCCUGAAGGAACGUUGAAGACGACGACGUUGAUAGGCCGGGUGUGUAAGCGCAGCGAUGCGUUGAGCUAACCGGUACUAAUGAACCGUGAGGCUUAACCUUACAACGCCGAAG
rnacentral:rRNA from 1 species